UCUCUCCCCACACUCUGCCCCCAAAAGGAAAACCGGGCCGGUUUCCCGAACGCGAGCCGCAGCAACGAACGACGCCGCAUCCACCGCUCCCACGCCGCGGCCGUGGGCGACGCGACGGCGAGAGAGAGAGAGAGAGAGAGAGCACGGGACUCCGGAGUGGGAGAGGAGGAGAGGGGAUGCCGUGGCUGGCGCCGCUUGGUGUUGCUGCGGCGGCCUAUGACCGAGGGAGCAGACGGGCGCGCCAGUGGUAGAAGUGGGAGGUAUGGAGCUGGGCGGCGGG
rnacentral:lncRNA from 1 species